AGUUCAAAGAAAUUAGCUAGCACAAAGAUGGUAUAAGCUGGAAUAUAGAUUAAACCCUAAGACAAAACUGGAAUCAAAAACAGAUUUAAAGAAAUUUCUCUAAAACCCUAGAUGAAGAUUUCAGCAGCAAGUAUUAGAAACAAAAAUGAAAAGCAUGGAAGAUGAAGAAAAAGAAAAACCCUAGAAAUGUCCUCUUUGGCAUAAUGCCUUAGAAGCUUAAACCAAAUAGAAAAAUCAACUUAAGGAAUAUAAAGAAUGAAGGAUACUUAUUUGAUUUGAUGCCCUAAUGUUCUGAUACCAAUAUGAUAGGCACCCAAAUGAACAUUGCCUAAGGAUGUAGACCUCUAAUGGAACCCGAGAAUCAUCAACACUAAAACAAGUUUUCUUUGAACAAAAUAAGAUGCAAUCUCUAUGGAAAAAGAAGCACCAGAAUACAUAUUUCAAAGUAGAACAGAUCAAGUGUCAACACAGUAACCUAACUUGUGGGAGAUUACAUUAAUCAUCAAGUAAAAUAGGCAAGUUAUAAAGUUGCCUAAGUUCUAGUUC
rnacentral:misc_RNA from 1 species